rnacentral:rRNA from 1 species
CAGCCGCCGCGGGAACACGAAGGGGGCUAGCGUUGUUCGGAAUUACUGGGCGUAAAGCGCACGUAGGCGGAUAUUUAAGUCAGGGGUGAAAUCCCGCAGCUCAACUGCGGAACUGCCUUUGAUACUGGGUAUCUUGAGUAUGGAAGAGGUUAGUGGAAUUGCGAGUGUAGAGGUGAAAUUCGUAGAUAUUCGCAGGAACACCAGUGGCGAAGGCGGCUAACUGGUCCAUAACUGACGCUGAGGUGCGAAAGCGUAGGGAGCAAACAGGAUUAGAUACCCGCGUAGUCCCUGUCUCUUAUAC